GGCUGAAGCCCCACCAGGAGACGGACCCGGGACCCUCAGACCCCCGUCCAGCGCUCAUUCUGCACAGACCCGCCGGAGAAACAGCUACCUGCAGUUUACACCGACAUAACAAACAGGGAACAAUCUUCACAUAUGGAUCUGAUGAAGGAGGAAGAAAGGCAAAAAGACUUUGACAUAGGGGUCUGAAGUUCCCCCCAUGUCCAUAGCAGCAAGAUCCUGAGCCUGAAGGAUACCCACUAUGAGCUUUAGAGGAAAGAGAAAAAGUAUCAGUGACCAGACCUACCUGGGAAUCUGUGAAGUUGUAGUCCAAGGAGAACUCCAGCUUACCCAACUUUUCCUGUUCCUUCUCCUCUUCCUCACCUUCCUUCUUCACCUCCCCCUCCUACAGGACCAAAACAUGUCCAUCAUGAGGAUCUUAAUCAGCAUUUUUUGAAAACGCAGAAGAUGAAGCAUGCUACCAAAACUAGGACCAACACAACAAUGGCUCCUACUGCCCACACGGGAACUGCAAAAUUAAGAGAUGGCUCAGCAGCCCGCCGAAGUCGAACCCCAGCGCUGACCAGCCUCAUGUUUCCUGUCAAAACGGCAGAUUCACAUUGUGUUAUGCUGUCUGUCAACUUGGCUCAUACA